UACGUAGGGUGCGAGCGUUGUCCGGAAUUACUGGGCGUAAAGAGCUCGUAGGUGGUUUGUCGCGUUGUCCGUGAAAACUCACAACUCAAUUGUGGGCGUGCGGGCGAUACGGGCAGACUGGAGUACUGCAGGGGAGACUGGAAUUCCUGGUGUAGCGGUGGAAUGCGCAGAUAUCAGGAGGAACACCGGUGGCGAAGGCGGGUCUCUGGGCAGUAACUGACGCUGAGGAGCGAAAGCGUGGGGAACGAACAGG
rnacentral:rRNA from 1 species